UACAGAGGUGGCAAGCGUUGUUCGGAAUUACUGGGCGUAAAGGGCGCGUAGGCGGUCUGGUCAGUCCCUUGUGAAAUCCCCGGGCUUAACCUGGGAACUGCAUUGGUGACUGCAUUGCUCGAGUAUGGCAGAGGGGGGUGGAAUUCCACGUGUAGCAGUGAAAUGCGUAGAGAUGUGGAGGAACACCGAUGGCGAAGGCAGCCCCCUGGGCCAAUACUGACGCUCAUGCACGAAAGCGUGGGGAGCAAACAGG
rnacentral:rRNA from 1 species